rnacentral:misc_RNA from 1 species
AGAAACACUUGAUAGCAAGUCAUCUUGUAGCUAGAAAAGGAGCAGUUUUAGUGACUUUAUCUUCAGACUCUUUGCUGUGCAUCACAUCAAAAACUUUCUUCUAAAUAAACUAUUUAGGAUUUUCUGCAUUUUCAUCUUGGGUUCUCUCAGUAAAGUUGAAAUUGUUUUAUUUCACUAUAGACUUGAUCCAUGACUAGAAUUUCAAAUUAUUAGCGCCAUAUAUAGUUAGCUUGAUCUUUGAUACUGUGAUGUACUACCAUGCACAAUUGUUGUCUUGAUGUUGUUAAUUGAAGGUAUAUUAUAUACUGUAGUUGAACUAUUGAAGUCAUUAUUCCUGCAAUCAUUAGUUGUCUUUGGUCUAGUGAUCAAUAAAUCCCUUUGAAUCCUAUUCUUCAGUGUUGCUGAAUGCCUCCAUAUCUGAAGGAAAUUAUAUAUUACUGAUUAAACCAGCAUUUACUUCACUCCUUUGCAAGGAUAUUUGUAACCUUUAUUGCCUUGGUGUCUUUGGUCAAGUAUUUCCUAUUGUAAGUGGUAUUCCAAGAGGCCUAUUUAGUAUAUUAGGUAUCUAUUUUAUCCAUCAAUUGUCCUUUAUUUAGACUUGUUGUAGUUUAUGUUCUGUUGUGAUGGAAUUUGUUGCUAAUGCUCACUGAGCUGACUGUGCCACUUGUUCAUAUCCUCAUCCGUCCCUUGACGAGUCCUAUUUCUUCAUUAGCUUCAAGUCACCAGAUCAUCAAGAUAAUUUUCAUUCUGUCGUAAAGUUGUUUUCUAUUGAGUUUGAUUGCUCACUUGAUUCUAUGUUGAUAUUUGGUGUAUAAUAGCAUAAGUUUUUGUAUGGAUUAGUGAAGUUUUAUAAGGGAAAGCUGGCAUUGUAGUUGGAUGUGAAUUUUUCAAGGUCUCGAUGGUUCUCUUGUGUUGUAUGCUUGAUGUGACCCAAUUGCUUAUUGAAAGUGUUAUUGAUGUCAACAUUAUCUUGAUAUUCAUAUCUUGCUGUAUUUAAAACACUCAAUAUUAAUAUUAUUAAGGCGUAACAACAACAUAUUGCUCACUCCUUAUAUAUUGUCGAGUCUCAUAUGAUAGGUGAAGAGUGGAAAUAUAAUAAUUCUCUGCUGUAAGCCUCAAGCACAACCAAAAGAAUAUAAUUAUUAUCAAAACUAUAAUUUAAACAGAAAACUAAGUAGACCGCAUGGUCCCGCAUUUCAAAUUGAAAUCAAACCAUUUAAAGCAAGUUUGCUAAGGCAUGACACUUCAUGUGCCAAAUCCUAAUCUGUGAUGUAGUUGAGAGCACACUUCAAGGUAGUGCAAUAAUGACUGCUUAGAGUUGACUCAGAGUUUGGUAUUGCGAUUGAAUCUCUCUUGUUAUUCAUUCCUCGUUGUUAAUUUAAAAAUAUCAGUUUUUUGCUAUGCAGAAAUUUGGCUUAAGCCAUAGAGGUGUCUUCUGUUUUCUUAGCAUUAGUUGUCUUCUGUAAAGAUUAUUGGUAGAGAUAAUCUGAAGGGCUGUAGAAGUAUAAUAAGAGCAUAGCCUUUGUUUUGGCUUAGUUUCAACAAGUUUUGUUAGGUUGAAUUCCAUUUGUUUCUUGGUUGGUGGCUACUUUUUGCAUGGUUAGCAUAAUUUCACCUGGUUGAUGGUCAAGAGUUGGUUGUUGUAGUGAUUGUUUAGCGUUGUAGCCCAGUAAAUAAUUUAAAUAAGCUUGGCAAGGAUGGCAAGCCAAGCAACCCACCAACGCAACUCUGCGACUGACAGCCCUACAAAGAAGCUCCCUGGCACCUCACUUAUACAAGCAAACAGAUCAGGGGUGGCCAGCGUGCUACCUCCUGCUGAGGAUUGUCUGUACACGCAGUACUAUUGCGAAGAGAACGUAUGGCAGCUGUGCGACAGCGUGAGAAGACAUCGGCCUGGGGAACUGUCGCGCUGCCACGUGGUCUUCAUCAGCAACGACGCGCGCUGCGUGCCGCUCUGGAGGCAGCGUGCUGGCAAGACAGAUGACCGACUCGUUACUUGGGACUAUUCUAACAUCUUCACAUGUGUUGCGCCCCAUGAAAAGGACUACCACGUCAUCUUCAUGUACCAGCCUGACGAGCGGUGCCUCGUCUUUGACCUGGACUCUGACCUGCCGUUCCCUACGUACUUCCACAAAUACGUCACCGAGACCCUACGCACGGACCACAUUCUGCACCCUGAGCAUCACAGGUGGUUCCGCGUGCUACCGGCGUUGGUGUAUCUACAGAAGUUCGCCAGCGACAGACGGCACAUGAGGCAUGCGGACGGCAGCUGGCUGCAGCCACCGCCUCCCCACCCUGCCAUCCGCGCACAAGAUGCUGUGCACAACCUGGACGAGUUCAUCAGCAUGGACACGAGCAAGCCUGGCAUCGGCGGCACCGUCUACAACCUCACCGACUUCGUCAGAUGUUUCUUCAAGGCCAAGUGAAGAAAAAACAUCCAUGUGGUUCUCACGAUUUGUUUUUGGGGCGAUAGGGUAAAGUGAUGGAAAAGAUGAAAGUGUUUCUCACGUUCUUUGUUUGGAGGGGGCGAUAGGGUAAAGUGAUGAAAAAGAUGAAAGUGUUUCUCACGUUUUUUGUUUGAAGGCAACAAGGCAAAGUGUAGGAAAAAGGUCCAUUUGUUUCACCCAAUUCAGUUUGUAGGCGAUCUUGCACGUUUUCCUGUCGAAAUUUCCACCAAUUUUUAUUUUGAGGUGACGCUUAGUUGUCAUGUUUACCUGUAAAAAUCAUGGGCGAAUAACCAUAAUCUUUGUGGCCAAUUGUCAGCCACAAAGUCAGUCAUGCGCUAAUUUUGAAUGUAGUUGGUUUUAUUUCGAUAUUUUUAGAUCAUACAAAAACCGGACCUUUUGAAUGUACCCAUCAGAUGGCGUAGAAGUAAUACGUUAGUACUUCGCGACAGGUAAAGGUUGAAUUUUUCUCGAUGGGAUUCUUAUUCAUUUGGUUUGUCGAGUUUGUUAAGAUUUUCAUGUUCAUUACGGCCCUCAUCCAACAUGUAAUUUGCCUAUUGUUUCUAUAAUUUCAAUAUUGAUUUUAAUAUUAUCAAUAUGAUGAUGUGAACUGAAAGUCAAAUUGCCAAUGAUCAUCUUUAAAUUAACUGAACUAAGCGGUCAACUGAACGCAGCGUAGACGUAGGUAGUGCAGUUAGAAGUUAAUUUUGCAGAGAAUAACUGAAGUGUGAUAUUUGAAUUCUGAACGUAAGUAGUUGGUAACAAUACCCGAGUAAUUAUAUGGAGUGAUCUUGUUAUUGUCUAGUUGUUAUUACGUAUUUCGUAGUAUUUGAAUUUUAAAUUAGAGUUUUUCUCGGAUUUUUAGAACGCCCAACAGGCUCGAAUAAUUAUUUUUCAGUGCGUUAAAUCAAAGUCUUUUUAUCAAAUCUGAGCCGAGGUUCAUCGCUAUUCAUUAAAAUUUUCCAUUUUCUUAUGCAUCAUCACACAUUAAGGCCUAAUAUUUCUUCAAAUUAAUAGUAAGUAGAGCAGGUGAGCAACAACGAGUUUGUUGAAACUUGUUGCAAAUCAUACCGUCGCCGCUAAUUUAUGCGGUAAUUAAGGCGGACAUCAACGCUGGGCGAAACCACUUCUCUGUACACGCAGUCAAAUAAGUGAGACUUUGUCCAAAUAGCUAUGCACUUUUUCCACAUUGUGUCCUGACGCAUUUGGGCCCGACAAAAGGUGUAUCAGUGCUACGUAUGUGUACUAGUGUUCUAUGUAGGAAAAUGUAUCACUAUUUGGACAGUAUGACUCGUUAAUUAUUCUCAGUGUAGGCUUCGUAGAGCCUGUAGCUCUUCGGUUAACCUGUUCUGACAACGGCGUUUUAUUCAAAUGACGCUUCUUCUCUUUAGGCAUUCGCCAAACUUUUCCUUGACCACGUACCCGCUAGGCUAAGCGUGACAUUUUUCUGAUUCUUCUCAUAGUUGUAAGCCGCUUUUCAUUUUUGACAAUUUUAAUAUAUAAAGGUACUUGCCACAUUCUUCUGCAUCCGCAUAUUAUUCGGUCAUUUCUCCUUCUCUAUUUUCCUCAAUCUUUCUAUCAUCUCUCUAUAUCGCAAUACUCGUUUAUCUGCGCAUGUUAUUACCAUAUAUUUUACUGAUGUCUGAAGUAUUACCCACCUCCUAGCGAGUCUCUGUUUAAACCGAACCCUGCCUUACUUGCCAGUAUAUUUCUGAGCAUUGUUUUCUGAUGAAAUUAGAUGAAUGAUAGUAAUCGCUUGCUUAACUGGAGGGAUUUUUAUGACACUCGGGGAGCAUUUGUAAGUCACUUGCAGUUCUCGAGUCGUCGUACAAACGCUGAAUCCUAAACCUGGUAUAUCACUUUAGGAUCCGCAUAACAAAUUCUCAUCACGAUGAGAACAACUAUGGAAACUGGGCAACUUAAUGUGCAUCAUGAAGUAUAUGCGAGACAUCGACGUCACGAUGCUUCUGAAGCACUGCAGUGAAGCAAGACAUCGAUGCUCUUCCGUAAAAUUAAGUUGAUCGACGUCAAAAUGAAGACCCCGAGUAAAAACACAGAAUAGUCAUUUUACAAAUUAGCUUUUCUAUCAAUUUCUUACUGUAUCGCUUUAGAAUUGAGCUAAAUUUCUGUUUGCCGGCAUUUAUGAUAACUUAAGCAGUUCACCGUAGUUUUUAAGACCUGAAUUGUUCAUCAGAUUUUCGCAGCAUGUUCACAAGCGUUCCAUUGUUGCUUCUCUGCGCUGGUAACUUUUAUAAAUCCUCAACGCACAAAUUCAAUGAGACACUGGUAGUUAGUUUCAAGGAAACAGUUUUAGUUUAGAAAAAUAGACCGUAAAAAUAUUAACAUUACUUUAUCUUAAGUUCUCGAGACGAAUUAUUGCGGCUUGUGUCUACGGAUAGCCAUGGGGUAUUGCCAAAGCCAUAGAAGAACCGCGCAUGUUUGCCGUUGUGAACAUAAUAUACAAAAGGAUAAAAAAUAGUUAUUCACAAUAACAUUACAGUCUUGUUAUUAAAGCACCUAAUUAUAUAUAUUAUGCACAUGCAUCUCAAAUUUGGUCAUCUAACUGUUUGGACCGAAUUAUUUUUCUGUUAUUCUGAGCACCAAUUCUCGUUGAUUUCUCACUGGAUUUUUUUUUUGUCGAGCGCUGAUAUUUAUCCGCGUUUAUAACAUUAUAUCUAUUGAGUGCUUGUGAUAUAAUAUAUUAAAUUCUUAUCUCAAUUACUCAAAAAACUUCUCUCCGCAUCUUUUAAUUCCAACUGAGGUUUUGAAUUCCAACUAAAAUUUUUCAUUCUAAUUUAUUUUUUGGCAUUUUUAUUUAGAUGUGCUGAUUAAAGAUUAUAUCCGAUCAAAUUAACAUUAAAAGUAAUUUUUUACUCUUGCAAUGUUAAAAAGUUGUUAUUCUAAUCCAGAUCUUGUAAAAAUCUUGUAAGAUCGUGGCAGUAGUUUUCCGUAUAUUUUACACUCAAGUUUUUUAAGCUUCUCAACUGCAACGAAGGUUAUAAGUUGAUCUUGUUUGUCGCUCGUGGUGAAGUUGAACUCUGCACGAUCUUGUUGAUAGAUAGUUUACAACUCAUAAGAUGUUAAAUUACUUCAAAGAUCUUAAAUUGUUUACUGUAAUAGCGUCAUUAGUAGAGUAACAGGGAACGCUUGUGAUGAAACUUCUCAUAGAAUCGAAGUUAAUGGAGUUUUUUGAAGAAAUAUAAGACGAUUUAAGAUUAUCGUAUUGUGUAUAACCUCGAAAGAACUUUUGUAUCCUAUGCCAAUGUUUCAUCGUCGCAUCUGUUCUAAUUCCUCGGAAUUCCAAGCAUUAGAUUUAGGUAUUCAUGUGUAAUGAUGUCGAUGUGAGUUGUUACGUCGUGUCAGUUAUUUCUGUGAUCCGUUACUGACGCUUCAUUGUACCCUCCGUAAUGCUGCCUGUUAACCUAUCGAAAAGUGGAACUUAUUACAAAUGCUGAUCCGCGCAAGCUCGGUUUGAUUUGAAAAUUAUUUUUGAUCACUGUUAUGUUUUGAGAGUUAUAAAUGUUAGAUAUACAUAUUCCUUUAGCAUUAGCACUUCGAUAUUUUUACUGUAGGUGCGUCAAUAAAUGUAGGUACAAUUUAUUCACAUCACUCAUCGAUUGUUUUCAACUCUUCUUGACUUCCACAAAGCAAUAGGUUAUCUUUGUGAAUUUAUUUCCAAUUAAGGCGCAAUUUUCGUCUUUUAUUCCAGAUACCCGAGUAUCUUGGCCAGGUACUUUAUUUAGUUCAAAAAGUGAAUGCAUUUUUCAGGCAUGCUCCCUUAUUGCUUGUCAUCUUGUUCCUCUGGAGUAAGCGUCCAGCUUACUGCCUGUUGGCAUACUUCUUUGACCUCAGGUUUUUGCAUUUAAUUUUCUUUGAAACUCAAAAAUAGGUUUUGCUAAGUACUUCAACUUUUUGUCAAGCGGAUUGCGCUAAUUCUAGGUUGACGAUGAACACACGUUAUUUCAGAAUAUUUUUCGGACUGAAGCUUCUUGAAGUUUCUCUUUCAUAUAGUUAUGUUAAUUAUGUCCAACAACGUUUACCUCUUUUCUUUUUAACAUUGAAGUUAGGCUGUAAGCCAUAAUUUACCCUACUCGGUAUCAACUUUCAACGAAAUUUCUUCCCAACUGUAUUUAAUAAACUGAUAGUAAGAAUCUGACUCAACUUAGGUUUUAAUCUGAAACGUUGAAGUGUAUUUUUCCCACGAUCUACUAGACACUCGUGCAAGUUGCAAAUUUUCUCUUCUUUGUCUCUGCUUUUUGAGUGCACUUGUGACUUUAUUAAGUAUUACGAUCGUUACAAUAAGGCCGCCAAUUCAGUGAUCCAGCUCUAAACUGAAUCGUGUGUGGUGGAUUUUUUGCUAGAUCUGUCGCCAAAAUCAUUCAAUAGACUAAACAUUAGUUGCAUCGCAUUGUUGCGUUAGCAAUGAGGGUAUCAUGGCCCGACUUGCUACAGUAGAUACAUGAAUGCGACCGAAUUAGCUACUAUGAGAUAAUAUUGAAUUUUUAUAAGAUAGUCGUUUCGUCAUUUAGCUCUUCGGCGGUAGAAUUCUUAUAGGAAUCGCUUUUGUUUUAGCGCCACGUUGGAUACUCAAUUUGUUACUUUAUCUCAAUCGCUGUAUGAUUUCUGUCUUAUCUGAAGAACAGACGGUGCUAAAAUUGUGAUUGACAGCUCUCUAGCACUAUUAUAAUCUUUUGCUAAAUAGAUGAAGUAUUUGUUCACAUUCUUCAAUUUUCAUUUCAUAUUCUAAGUAACUUCUAUGAUAUCCUUCAGCCUAUAACCCUUCAAAUUAAAUAAUACCUCUAUU